rnacentral:rRNA from 1 species
GACGAACGCUGGCGGCGUGCCUAAUACAUGCAAGUCGAGCGGACGGAUGGGAGCUUGCUCCCAGACCGUCAGCGGCGGACGGGUGAGUAACACGUGGGCAACCUGCCUGUAAGACUGGGAUAACUCCGGGAAACCGGGGCUAAUACCGGAUAACUCUUUCCCUCACAUGAGGGAAAGCUGAAAGAUGGCAUCUCGCUAUCAUUUACAGAUGGGCCCGCGGCGCAUUAGCUAGUUGGUGAGGUAACGGCUCACCAAGGCGACGAUGCGUAGCCGACCUGAGAGGGUGAUCGGCCACACUGGGACUGAGACACGGCCCAGACUCCUACGGGAGGCAGCAGUAGGGAAUCUUCCGCAAUGGACGAAAGUCUGACGGAGCAACGCCGCGUGAGUGAUGAAGGUUUUCGGAUCGUAAAACUCUGUUGUCAGGGAAGAACAAGUACCGGAGUAACUGCCGGUACCUUGACGGUACCUGACCAGAAAGCCACGGCUAACUACGUG